rnacentral:rRNA from 1 species
GCGGAGGCUAUGUGGUUUAAUCGAUGCUACACGAAGUAACCUUACCAGGGUUUUGACAUGCAAGUGGUAGGAAGCCGAAAGGUGACCGACCCUUCGGGGAGCUUGCACAGGUGCUGCAUGGCUGUCGUCAGCUCGUGUCGUGAGAUGUUCGGUUAAGUCCGCUAACGAGCGCAACCCUCGCUGUGUGUUAUAUGUGUCACACGGGACUGCCGGUCUUAAGCCGGAGGAAGGUGGGGAUGAUGUCAAGUCAGCAUGGCCUUUAUAUCCUGGGCUACACACACGCUACAAUGGCCAACACAAUAGGUUGCUAAGCCGCGAGGUGGCGCCAAUCCAUAAAGUUGGUCUCAGUUCAGAUUGUAGGCUGCAACCCGCCUGCAUGAAGAUGGAGUUGCUAGUAACCGCAGGUCAGCUAUACUGCGGUGAAUACGUUCCCGGGGCUU